ACAAGUCUUUUUUAAUUGCAAACCUGUUUAUUCUUUUUAAAAGAUGUAUAUUUUUCACCAAAUAUUUUCAGUGGUCGUUGAAUCAAUAAACAAUCAAAGAAUCAACACUAUUUUGUAUUUUAUUUUAAGAAAAAAUGGAAUCCGGAGAUGAGAUGGGAGGAAUAGAAAACGAUGAUAAAUUUAUUCAAGAAAAUAUUGAUGACCAAAAUAAACCUUUCGAGGAUUUUGAUUUGACCCAAGAAGAAAUUAGUGGAGUGAAAAUAAGGGAAGAUGUAGAUCCUUUGUACAGCACGCCGGUACAAGUGGAAGUCGCGCCCGUACAGUUGGAGGAUGUCGUGUCCUCACACGUGAUGGAUGCCCUGCCCGUAGAGAAAGUCGCGCCUGUACAAGGAAAUGGCUUAAAUUUGCCCAAACAAGCUGAUGUUUCUAUUCACAAUAUUGAGAAGGAAGAGAAGAGCAGAAGGGAUUUUCAACGGGAUCAGUUUCUCUGGAUAGAUUCUAAACAAGGCCCUGAUAUAAAGGUUUAUGGGAAGGAUGGAGUGUAUAGGGAAGCUCAUAGGAUCAUGCUAUCCCGACUGUCCCAUCUACUCUGCUCUAUUCUGAAACAGAAUCAAGAUGAGGAAGAUGUUGCGGUUAUCCUACCAGAUGUGCCUGGAGCAGUUCUAGACCUAGUACUAGACCUUGUAUACCGGGGUUGGGUGGGAGGACUAGGUCUAUCAAACAUCAGCCAGGUCCGAGAUGUUUGUAAAAUACUUGACAUGAGACAAGAAGACUUUGUAGUUCGAUCCGAGGAUAAAUACAGGUUGGGGAAGGAUAUUCUCCACCCCGUGGUAUCCCGGGACUCGGAUGAACCUGACUCCAUCAAUCUUAGCUCCGAUACCAGAGAGAACAGAAGCAAAACUCAGGGCAGUUUCCAGUGUCCGUUCUGCAACAAAACAUUUAUUUACGCAAAAUCUUUCGAGAGACAUGAAGAAAUAUGUACUUCCAAUACAAACAACCUGCAGAGAACAGAGACUAACCUUGAAGGAGGAGAAGGAGAAGAAGGAGGAGAUGAAGGUGGGAUUGAGGAAAGAGAUGAUGAAGAGGAGGUUAGAGAACCUCCGGAUCCCUCGGAGAGGUUGAAGAGAAAGCGGAGAAAACAGGAUCGGAUCCAGGAUCCGGAGGAGGAUCAAGAUUUUGAAAAGAAACCUUCUGUAGUAUUCAAGUUUGAGCAUUAUGAGGAGCAGGACGGAGAGUAUUUCUGCAGGUUUCCGGGUUGUACUUACUCCGACCCGUUCAAGACCUUGGAGAACUGCAAAAACCACCAACUCCUACUCCAUGCAUCAGUACAGGAGAAAAUAUUCUUAUGUGAUUUCUGUGAUGAAAGAUUUUCUACGAUUCGUCUUCGGAAUAAGCAUAUUAACGCGGUGCACAAUAAAAGAUUUGAAUGUGAUCAGUGUGAAAGAAAGUUUAGUGAAAAGACUAGGUUAACAAUACACAUGAGAACCCACACUGGGGAGAAACCCUUUGUUUGUGAUCUUUGCGGAUAUUCGUGUAAUCAGAGGAAUAACUUAAGGAAACACAAAGAACUGAGACAUAGCUCUGCGGGGGAAGCGAGAAUGUUUCCCUGUGAUAUCUGCAGUGCUGUGUUUAAUACUAAAGGGAACUUGAAUAGACACAGAGCAAGGCACGACGCCAACACAGUAUUACCGUUUGUCUGUGAAACCUGUGGGAAGAAUUUUAAGGAUCAUGGUACUCUGAAGCAGCAUUCCUUUAGUCACGGAGCAGCAAAAUAUAACUGCCAGGUGUGUGGAGCAGCAUUUACAUCUCCUCUUUACUUAUACAGAAUUGGAUUCCAAGGUAUAUUAAAUCCUUGACGGCACUCUCAAUUGUAGGGUUAAUUAGAAUUGCGUUCACAAAAGUUCAAAACACACGCUGCGAAAGCAUCCCACUGACGGAGUCCAGCCCUAUACCUGUGAUUUAUGUGAUAAAGGAUUUCCUUUAAAGCAUCAACUGC
rnacentral:misc_RNA from 1 species